rnacentral:rRNA from 1 species
GAGCCCCUGGGUGGUAUCUGGCUCCCUGAANUNAGCGGCGGACGGCUGAGUAGCAUGUGGGCAACCUGCCUGUAAGACUGGGAUAACUUCGGGAAACCGGAGCUAAUACCGGAUAACUUCUUUUCUCGCAUGAGGAGAGGUUGAAAGACGGUUCUGCUGUCACUUACAGAUGGGCCCGCGGCGCAUUAGUUUGUUGGUGAGGUAACGGCUCACCAAGGCGACGAUGCGUAGCCGACCUGAGAGGGUGAUCGGCCACACUGGGACUGAGACACGGCCCAGACUCCUACGGGAGGCAGCAGUAGGGAAUCUUCCGCAAUGGACGAAAGUCUGACGGAGCAACGCCGCGUGAGUGAAGAAGGUCUUCGGAUCGUAAAACUCUGUUAUCAGGGAAGAAUAAGUACCGUGUAACUAACGGUACCUCGACGGUACCUGACCAGAAAGCCACGGCUAACUACGUGCCAGCAGCCGCGGUAAU